GAUGAACGCUGGCGGCGUGCUUAACACAUGCAAGUCGAACGGAAAGGCCUCUGCUUGCAGGGGUACUCGAGUGGCGAACGGGUGAGUAACACGUGGGUGAUCUGCUCUGCACUUCGGGAUAAGCCUGGGAAACUGGGUCUAAUACCGGAUAGGACAAUGGUUUGGAUGCUGUUGUGGAAAGUUUUUCGGUGUGGGAUGAGCUCGCGGCCUAUCAGCUUGUUGGUGGGGUAAUGGCCUACCAAGGCGUCGACGGGUAGCCGGCCUGAGAGGGUGUACGGCCACAUUGGGACUGAGAUACGGCCCAGACUCCUACGGGGGGCAGAAGUGGGGAAUAUUGCACAAUGGGCGCAAGCCUGAUGCAGCGACGCCGCGUGGGGGAUGACGGCCUUCGGGUUGUAAACUCCUUUCGCUAGGGACGAAGCGUUUUUGUGACGGUACCUGGAGAAGAAGCACCGGCUAACUACGUG
rnacentral:rRNA from 1 species